rnacentral:rRNA from 1 species
AGCGAACGCUGGCGGCAGGCCUAACACAUGCAAGUCGAACGAACUCUUCGGAGUUAGUGGCGGACGGGUGAGUAACACGUGGGAACGUGCCUUUAGGUUCGGAAUAACUCAGGGAAACUUGUGCUAAUACCGAAUGUGCCCUUCGGGGGAAAGAUUUAUCGCCUUUAGAGCGGCCCGCGUCUGAUUAGCUAGUUGUUGAGGUAAAGGCUCACCAAGGCGACGAUCAGUAGCUGGUCUGAGAGGAUGAUCAGCCACAUUGGGACUGAGACACGGCCCAAACUCCUACGGGAGGCAGCAGUGGGGAAUCUUGCGCAAUGGGCGAAAGCCUGACGCAGCCAUGCCGCGUGAAUGAUGAAGGUCUUAGGAUUGUAAAAUUCUUUCACCGGGGACGAUAAUGACGGUACCCGGAGAAGAAGCCCCGGCUAACUUCGUG